CUUCCUUCCGGCCCGGCUCUCCAGGAGGAGGAAGCGGGCUGAGCUCCGUGGCUCUCGCGAGCAUUUCCCCAGCUUCUACGGGCUAGAAUGGGGGUGCCUCUUAAAGGGCGAGAGAGAGAGAGUGCGUGGUCGUUGUCUUUCGUUCUUCCCCCUUGAUCUGAAUGAGCAUCUGAAGCUCUGCGGCGCAAAGUCCUGUUCAUGGACGUAGGAGCGUGGGGUCGACUGCGUUAGGGAAGCAUGGAGGAAACGUCGCAACGAGGUUCAACUUUAUGGCUCGCUGAUACAGUGCGGUGGGCUGUGUGCAUCGUGGCUUUGCGAACAAAAGUUCAGAAUCUUGACCGCUAGGUCGAGAUCAGGAACUUCGCCGAGGCUGGAGCCGAUCGAUUGCGCGGGGUGAAGAAGGGUUUCAGUGCUAACUAGUAUGGGUUCACUUUGGAUUUGGGACUUUUGGGUGUUGAAGGAUUCGGGGGUUGCCCGAGAUCAGAGACCCAAGGUUUCUGAGAGCAUGCGUGAUUUGUUCUUAACUGUUGGGCGUGGAGGUAGGGAGAAUGAUGAAAGCGUUAGAACUUUUACUUUAUGAGUUAAGCUUUUCAAUUGUCUGGCUCCGUUCGCCUCGCUUGGGUGCAUUCAAAUAUUUUGACCUCGAAGCAAGUACUAGAUCUUGUUUUUCUAGGACUAAACUUGAACAAAGUAAUGGAACCCUAAUGGAGUUCACAGCCUAGUUGAGUUUAUAAUCGCUUGUAAUUUUUAUACUUUCGUUUGAGACAGGUUCUUGAUGUUGGCCUCAAACUCCAACAAAUAAUCAUAUCUCAGCCUCCCGAAUGAUGGGAUUACAGGUGUGAACCACUAAACCCAGAUGAUUUCUUUUUCAUAUUUUAUACGAUAAGAUAAUUGCACGAAUAUUUAAGUACUCUGAAAGUGUAUGACAAGAAAUCUAACACUGAAAUGAGGCUUGGAGAAUGAGUGAUUUUUGUCAGAGGGUCUAAAAUAUUUGGGGAGAUACAAAAAAGGCAGUGUGUUGAAGCAGUAGGGGAAGAAGACAUUGACGGAUCUUUUAGGCCAAGCCUACCAUUUGAAAGGCAGUGUCAUCAUAGCAGAAAGAACCAGAGGACACAUAUGUUCUGGACUCAGAACCCUCCUUGACCUUAUUCCUUGUAUCAUCAAGCUGUUAUUCUGUAUCUUUUGUAACAGCCUUUGGAAUGGAUAAACUGUUGCCUUGAAUUCUGUGAGCCACUCCAGUAAAUUAGCAAACCCAGCCAGACCUGUCAAGUCCACAGGUCCCAAACCUGCAUCCAAAGCUGGAGUAGGCUAGGAGACUGCUCUUUAUUUGUGGGAUCUAGUGUUAUAACUCCAGGUAGUGUUAGAACUGACUUGAACACCCAGCUGCUGCUUAGUAUGGAAAAAACUUAAGCGUUCAGCUACAGAGGUUGAAUGUAAACAAUUUGUUAGUAAAAUUAAAGUGUCUUUCCUGGUUGUUAAGGAUGCUGGAAAACACUGUACCACCUAAAUGUUCUGUAUCUGCAACCCUUUCCUAAGUUGUCUUUAAGUGAUAUGUUGUUGUUGUUGCUGCUGCUGCUACUGCUGUUGUUUUUCUGCCCCAUCCAGAGUCCCACAAUAGAUUUUUGCAUAAACCUGGGUGUAUACAGUGGUGGACCACUUACUUGCCUGAGGCUCUGAAUUUCAACUGUGUCACUGAGGGUGAAAAGAAGCUCCUAUGUGGUGCGUGCCUGUAGCUCCAGCUACACCUAGUGUAGGUCUCUAGCAGUUACCCCUGUCCAGAGACUGAGAUUUUGUCAGUUGAGUUCAGGAAUUGGAGACAAGAUCAGGACACACAUUACCAUCUCAGACAACUGGAGUGUACCUGGGUGCUAGGGAAAGCCUAAAGUCCCUAUUCUUUAAAAAAAAAAAAAAGAGGCAGGAAGAUCUUGAGUUCAAGGGCUGCCCAAGCUGCUGAAUAAAUUUAAGGGCAGCCUGGGUGAUGUAAGACCCUGUCUCAAAUGAAUUAAUUUUUUAAAAUGGAGUGGGGAUGGCGGUGCAAGGAUUGGUUGUAGUGUUCAACACCUUUAAUUCCAGCACUUUGGAGGCAGAAGCAGGCAGGUCUCUGAGUUCAAUACCAGUCUGCUUUAGAGAUCCUAGGACAGAGGGCUACACAGAGAAACUCUUGUGUGGGUGUGUGUGGGGGGGGGUGGUGGUGACUGACAGAUGGUUCAGCAGCUAAGAGUAUUUGCAGUGGUUGCUCCUCCAAAAGAAUGUGGGUUUGCUCCCAGCAGCCAAAUGAUGGUUUUAUUCCAGUUCCAGUGCACACGUGGUUCACAUACAUACAUGCAGGCAAAUCAACACAUAAAGAAUUAAAUCUUUAGGUUUGAAAAACAAUGAAAAGGCUGGGACCCUAGUUGAGUGUGUGCUAAUUGUGUGUAGGGCCAUUCCUCAACACCCAGUAAAAUUAUUAGUAUCUAGUUUUACAUCAGUGCCUAAGGACUGGCUAGUCUAUUUUUUUUUUUAAAGAUUUAUUUAUUUAUUAUAUGUAAGUACACUGUAGCUGUCUUCAGACACUCCAGAAGAGGACAUCAGAUUUUUGAUACGGAUGGUUGUGAGCCACCAUGUGGUUGCUGAGAUUUGAACUCGGGACCUUUGGAAGAGCAGUCGGUGCUCUUAACCGCUGAGCCAUCUCACCAGCCCUGUUUGUUUUUUUCAAGACAUUUUUUUUUAAUAUUUAUUUAUUAUAUGUAAGUACACUGUAGCUGUCUUCAGACACUCCAGAAGAGGGAGUCAGAUCUCAUUACAGAUGGUUGUGAGCCACCAUGUGGUUGCUGGGAUUUGAACUCUGGACCUUCAGAAGAGCAGUCUGGUGCUCUUAUCCACUGAGUCAUCUCACCAGCCCUGGUUAGUUUAUUUUGCAUGGACCUUUUCUUUAACUUACAAACCACUGCCAUUGUUUCUAAUCUCCAUCUUCUGAGUCAUGCUUUAAGAGUUUACUUUAGGACUCAUGCUGUCCUGUGCCCUGAUCAAAGGGAUUCCUUUUUUAUUGUUUUCAAGACAGGGUCUAACUGCAGUCCAGGCUCCAAACUUUGGGAGUCCCUCACCUCCUUGAUGCUGGAAUUGCAGGUGUGAACCACAUGCUUGAUGGAAGUCUUAAUAUUGAUUAUAGAUGAAAAUGUAUCGAUGUUAAGUUUUCUGAUUUUGAUAAUUAUGGGGAUCAUGAAAAAUGCAUGCUGAAAUACUUUUAGGGUUAAAAAAGCAUGAGUGUGAAAUGUGCAAGGUAAAUAAAAUGUUAAUUCAAUCUG
rnacentral:lncRNA from 1 species